UACGUAGGGGGCAAGCGUUGUCCGGAUUCAUUGGGCGUAAAGAGCGUGUAGGCGGCCAGGUAGGUCGGUUGUGAAAACUGGAGGCUCAACCUUCAGACGUCGACCGAAACCAUCUGGCUAGAGUCCGGGAGAGGAGAGUGGAAUUCCUGGUGUAGCGGUGAAAUGCGCAGAUAUCAGGAAGAACACCCGUAGCGAAAGCGGCUCUCUGGAACGGUACUGACGCUGAGACGCGAAAGCGUGGGGAGCGAACAGG
rnacentral:rRNA from 1 species